rnacentral:rRNA from 1 species
UACGGAAGGGGGCUAGCGUUGCUCGGAAUUACUGGGCGUAAAGGGCGCGUAGGCGGGUCGUUUAGUUAGAGGUGAAAGCCCAGGGCUCAACCCUGGAAUUGCCUUUAAUACUGGCGGCCUUGAGUAUGGCAGAGGUGUGUGGAACUCCGAGUGUAGAGGUGAAAUUCGUAGAUAUUCGGAAGAACACCAGUGGCGAAGGCGACACACUGGGCCAUUACUGACGCUGAGGCGGCGAAA